rnacentral:lncRNA from 1 species
CAAUAUAAAAUUUCAUUCAAAAUUUUCCGUCUUUUAAAAAUUUCAUUUUUUCAUACUAUUUUUAAAAUCAUAAGAGCUUGGGUGGAUUUACUUUAUUCUCAGUUAAAUAUUGUGGAUUAUAUUAUUAUUCAUUGAAUAUCAAUUUUAAUGGUGAACAACCAAUUUAAGUGUUAAACAAGUACAUGCAAACUUUGGCAAACCACAAAAAUCAAAAAUGUCCACAAUCCACAAAAAUUGAUACCCGUGAAAGUAAAAGAAUCCACAUUAUGCAUGGUGGGAGAAAACGACACAUACAUAUCCUGCCCAUUAUGGAAUGACCAUGUCAUUUCUACUCUUACAUAAUAAGAAUUGUACAAACAAUGCCUUGGAAAAACAUGUAGGCCUUUCAAUUCUAUAUUUGUUACAUAAAUCCCCAAACAAUUAAAUUAUGUCAUUAUAAUCUACAUAUUAAAAAUGUUUGAGCAAAAAAAAAUCAACAUACAUACUGAUAAUAAAGAAAUUAUUGGUGUUGUAGCCAAUUCUAGUCCACUUGACAGUGAUUUAAUUUCAUGAUUUUCAAUAUUUUGUGAUUUAUGAUCGUAUAAAUAGGAGCAAGAACAUAUCAAUUAAGUGAAUAAUAAGCAUAAUGAGUAAAAUUUAGGAGAUCUAAAAAAAAAAAAAGUGCUUUUCUUAAACCACUGUGGUAUUACUGAUAGACGAAAGUCAACAGGAUAAAUUAAGGCACUUUAAAUAAACUUUAGCGAAGGCAAGAUAAUAGAUUCCUCGAGUUUGAGAAUACACAUAAAAAAAAUAAGGCUUUCAAUUAGUAACUUGUGCCGAUUUUGCUUCACAAAAGGAGCUGUACACAUGUUCCUGUGGAGGUAGUUAAAAUUUAUUUGAUUGAUUGAUUGCUCAAUGCCCAUUGGCAAAUAUUUCAUGCAUGUUCAGCACGAAGAAUUUAUUUGAAAAAUACCUAUAUGGUUUGAAUAUUCAUACGGUCAUUAAAAAUUAAAUGAGUAUAAAACUCAUAGAGCCAUCCAUACCCAUAUGGUCAGGGUCCAAAUAAUAGUCAGAAACAUAUCCAUUGGAUAUAAUGUUGUUUCAUGUUCAGUGAACCACAACAUCUAGGACAGAUACUUGUUUGGCAUGUCUUACAGACAAAAAGUUCACACCUGAAUGAAACAACAAUGAUACACGACAUAUGAACUGACAAAGAGAAUCACAAACCUUACAGAAACAAAAUGCCCCCUACUAAUAUAGUCGGCCAAGCCGUUAAAUUUUGUAUCAAUAAUUAUGAAUUUUAUAGAAUAAUAAACAAGAAUGUGUCCCAAGUACAUGGAUACCCCGUCCACACUAUCAUUUUCUAUGUUUAGUGGACCGUGAAAAUGAGAGAUCAUAUCAUAGGGAACAUGUUUAUUAAGUUUCAAGUUGAUUGGACUUCAACUUCAUCAAAAACUACCUCGACCAAAAACUUGAACCUGAAGUGGGACAAACGGACGCACAGACCAGAAAACAUAAUGCCUAUAAAUGGGGCAUAACAACACAAAAUACUUUAUAAAAAAAUACCAAGGCACAUCAUUAUUGAUUGUCAUUAAUAAAACAUGAUUUGAAACAUUAUAGCCUGGGUUAUCUACCUUUGAAAUACUUAAACAAUAAUACAUAUAUUAUAUAGACAAUAAUAUAAACAUUG